AAAGUGCUCUAAGAAUAGAGUCAUGUUUCCGUGAGUUACGUUAUCUAACAAAAGAAAAAGGAUCCCGAUUCUAGUUCCUGCUGUGAACGAGUGUGUGAAUCUAGAUGCGGACUGCACCUACUGAACGAAGAGUGUUGAAAUGCACAAACCCCCAUCUGAGAAAUAUGACGUCUUAUUGAGAGAGUCAAUAUCAAAAGCCUGUGAUAUGUGUUGUGAACAGACCAUGGGAGCAUGACUGUGAAGUAGACGGCUCUUGACCAACUGAUGAUUCAAAGGGAGAUAAGUGUGACAACAAAAUCAAGCUGUGUUUAUGUUUUCUUUUCCGAUGUGUUUCUCCCUGGAAUUAUCACUGGAUCAAUAUUUUGACUGACCUCACGAUUUUCGUUGUUGGAAUGCGAGACGUAUUGGGUGUUGGGAGGAUACCUGGCAACAGCAAUAAGUGUGUAACUACCUCAGUCGGUUCAAACUGAUCCUAUAACUUCAAUGUGUUACGACAAUGUUUCGAACUGGUGCCUUCAAAAAGCGAACGUUUGAGAAGAUGGAAAACCUGCUGAUAAUUAUACUGCUCUGUACUUUCACUGCUCAUUGCAAAGGAGGUUCCUUGCAUCUCUUCAGUUCUCCACCCACCGCAACAGAUGGCGGCCUCUUCACCCUGGUAUGCACCAAUAGAAGUCGUGGUAUCAGUGGUAUGAAGUGGUAUCUGGAUGACAAUGAAGCUUUCACUACCAAUGCCGAGGGAGCAAAAGAAACGUGCUCACUGGGGAAACCAAGCUCUUCUCCAAUCAAGUCCAUGACAGAUCGUGUCACAGUUAGCUGUGACAACCUUCAACACAAUGUGACUCUCACAAUAAACUCAAAGAUAGACAAUGGAUCUGUGUGGUAUUGUGAGGAUAAUGCUGUGACUGGCACUCCACAGGUUACAAGACCAAAUAGUAACAGACUAACUAUCUAUGUAACGAGUGUAGGACGUACAAGUACCUGGACAUAUGGAUCGUCAACGUCGUCAACGUCGUCAACAGCGUUCGGGCCCUCUGAUGUGGACAACAACAGUACAGAUACACAAAACAGUAACAUGAUCUGCCAUGUCUAGAACUUUGUUAACAACAUUUCAAAAAUACACAUUAACGAAUUUUGAGUGUAUUGGCACUGCACAAUACUAUUCCAUUGAUUCUGGUAAAACGAAAAUGACUAUUCGAACACCCGUAGAAUUCUAAACACAAAGGCAAAAGAUGAUACAAGCGAACAUAAAAAGAAGUUGUUUACGCUGCGGCUGGAGGAGGCCUAGGAGGGGGAGGUGUCUUCAUCAUGGUCUUCAUCCUCUGAGUCGUGUGUGUCAGGAGAAGGAGGCAUCGCACCUGUAACGGUAUCGUCUAUCAAGUCUAUCCAUGAAACAAAUUAUGCAAAAUUGAAAUUAAUCAAUUCUGAUUGGUCAAUCGAAGGUUUCACAAAAAAAACACCUCUGAUUAAAAAAAGAUAAUUUGACCGCCGUAUCUUCGCGAAAGCUAAUAUUUAUAGAAAAGUACUCAGUGAUUGUCGUAAAAUUCUACAUUAUAAUAUGUAAUUAUGAAAUCACAGGUCACAAAACGCCAUGUGGCGGUCACUGUAAUCUUCAAACUACUUGUGGCAAUGCAGUUAGGACAGAAAAGACAAUAAAAAUCGACGAAGAUAGUGUAUUUAUUGGGAUAACAGAGAGUUUGACACAUGUUAUCCAUCCUAAUGAGCGACAACGUUCCAUUUAAACCCGCGAUGUAACAAAACCUUGCGAAGCUUGUUUAAUUUACCAACGUUAUGUUGGAUUACGAAUUUGCUGUGCUACGUACUUUCGAUACCAACAAUUGGUCCUUCUCUUUAAUCUCUACUUGUAUAUUGUCACCUAGAGUUCCAUGCGACCAGCACAGUACCUCUGCCAAAGGCCAGCGCCAUGUGACGAUUCGUCACACCUUUCACAGUCUUUAAGAUAUUGCAUAUGUUUUCUAUCUGUCUCAUUUUUGACAAGUCUACAUAUCUAGAU
rnacentral:misc_RNA from 1 species